rnacentral:misc_RNA from 1 species
CAACCCUCAAGCUCUGCUUGGUAUUGGGCGUCACCACUCGUGGUGUGCCUUAAAAUCAGUGGCGGUGCCAUUCGGCUUCAAGCGUAGUAAUUCUUCUCGCUUCUGGAGUUCGGGUGUGUGCUUGCCAGCAACCCCCAAUUUUUUAAA